CUUCUGUGGUUCCAACAUCAAAAGUAAAAGGAACAAAUGUGAUUGGAAUCCUCGAAUGUCAUGGAAUACUAUUAGUUUAUGAUUCCAAGGUAACAGGCAAAGUCGAUAAAAAAGAGCCUCAAAUACGUAAUUCUCGAUAUGAUUUUUCCUUACUAUUCUUCUCUUUUUGUUUUGGAUGUUGCAGA
rnacentral:pre_miRNA from 1 species